rnacentral:misc_RNA from 1 species
AACUUUCGGCAAUGGAUCUCUUGGCUCUCGCAUCGAUGAAGAACGCAGCGAAAUCCGAUAAGUAAUGUGAAUUGCAGAAUUCAGUGAAUCAUCGAAUCUUUGAACGCACCUUGCACCCUGUGGCAUUCCGAAGGGUAUGCUCGUUCGAGUGUCAUUGUACUCUCACACUCCCAAUCCCUUUGGAUUGGGAGCGGUGGACUUGGGUGUUGCCGCUUGACUGAGGCUCACCUGAAAUAUGUUAGUGCAUCUCUUGAUUGGACAUAGUACGGCGUGAUAAGUGUCUUCGCCGGCUCCUCGCAAAGAGGGUGGCCGAUCGGGAGCUCUGUUGCUUCAAACUGUCUUCGGACAAUCUUCUGACAACUUGACCUCAAAUCGAGUAGGACUACCCGCUGAACUUAAGCAUAUCAAUAAGCGGAGGCU